GGGGAAUAUUGCACAAUGGGGGAAACCCUGAUGCAGCAACGCCGCGUGUGUGAAGAAGGCCUUAUGGUUGUAAAGCACUUUAAGCGAGGAGGAGGCUCCCGUAGCAAUAUCUACGGAGAGUGGACGUUACUCGCAGAAUAAGCACCGGCUAACUCUGUGCCAGCAGCCGCGGUAAUACAGAGGGUGCGAGCGUUAAUCGGAUUUACUGGGCGUAAAGCGUGCGUAGGCGGCUUUUUAAGGCGGAUGUGAAAUCCCCGGGCUUAACUUGGGAAUUGCAUUCGAUACUGGGAAGCUAGAGUAUGGGAGAGGAUGGUAGAAUUCCAGGUGUAGCGGUGAAAUGCGUAGAGAUCUGGAGGAAUACCGAUGGCGAAGGCAGCCAUCUGGCCUAAUACUGACGCUGAGGUACGAAAGCAUGGGGAGCAAAC
rnacentral:rRNA from 1 species